GAGAUGUUGGGUUAAGUCCCGUAACGAGCGCAACCCUUGUCCUUAGUUACCAGCACGUUAUGUGGGCACUCUAAGGAGACUGCCGGUGACAAACCGGAGGAAGGUGGGGAUGACGUCAAGUCAUCAUGGCCCUUACGGCCUGGGCUACACACGUGCUACAAUGGUCGGUACAAAGGGUUGCCAAGCCGCGAGGUGGAGCUAAUCCCAUAAAACCGAUCGUAGUCCGGAUCGCAGUCUGCAACUCGACUGCGUGAAGUCGGAAUCGCUAGUAAUCGUGAAUCAGAAUGUCACGGUGAAUACGUUCCCGGGCCUU
rnacentral:rRNA from 1 species